GCCUUUACCUGGCAGGAGAGACACCAUAAUCAAGUGGGUGAUUUUCCCAGGGUGAGGCCUGUCCAUUGCACUCUGGGCAGGGUGACCCCUAUGAUUUUCCCAUGGCGGUGGUGCCAGAGUGAGCUCUAUC
rnacentral:snRNA from 14 species